CUCCGGGAAACUGGAGCUAAUACCGUAUGUGCCCUUCGGGGGAAAGAUUUAUCGGCAAAGGAUUGGCCCGCGUUGGAUUAGCUAGUUGGUGGGGUAAAGGCCUACCAAGGCGACGAUCCAUAGCUGGUCUGAGAGGAUGAUCAGCCACAUUGGGACUGAGACACGGCCCAAACUCCUACGGGAGGGAGCAGUGGGGAAUAUUGGACAAUGGGCGCAAGCCUGAUCCAGCCAUGCCGCGUGUGUGAUGAAGGCCUUAAGGUUGUAAAGCACUUUCACCGAUGAAGAUAAUGACGGUAGUCGGAGAAGAAGCCCCGGCUAACUUCGUGCCAGCAGCCGCGGUAAUACGAAGGGGGCUAGCGUUGUUCAGAAUUACUGGGCGUAAAGCGCACGUACGCGGAUAUUUAAGUCAGGGGUGAAAUCCCACAGCUCAACUCUGGAACUGCCUUUGAUACUGGGUAUCUUGAGUAUGGAAGAGGUAAGUGGAAUUGCGAGUGUAGAGGUGAAAUUCGUAGAUAUUCGCAGGAACACCAGUGGCGAAGGCGGCUUACUGGUCCAUUACUGACGCUGAGGUGCGAAAGCAUGAGGAGCAAACACGAUUAGAUACCCUGGUAGUCCACGCCAUAACGAUGAAUGUUAGCCGUCGGCAAGUUUACUUGUCAUUGGCGCAGCUAACGCAUUAAACAUUCCGUCUGGGGAGUACG
rnacentral:rRNA from 1 species